rnacentral:rRNA from 1 species
AGUGAACGCUGGCGGUAGGCCUAACACAUGCAAGUCGAACGGCAGCACAGUAAGAGCUUGCUCUUACGGGUGGCGAGUGGCGGACGGGUGAGGAAUACAUCGGAAUCUACUUUUUCGUGGGGGAUAACGUAGGGAAACUUACGCUAAUACCGCAUACGACCUACGGGUGAAAGCAUGGGAUCUUCGGACCUCGCGCGAUUGAAUGAGCCGAUGUCGGAUUAGCUAGUUGGCGGGGUAAAGGCCCACCAAGGCGACGAUCCGUAGCUGGUCUGAGAGGAUGAUCAGCCACACUGGAACUGAGACACGGUCCAGACUCCUACGGGAGGCAGCAGUGGGGAAUAUUGGACAAUGGGCGCAAGCCUGAUCCAGCCAUACCGCGUGGGUGAAGAAGGCCUUCGGGUUGUAAAGCCCUUUUGUUGGGAAAGAAAAGCAGCAGGUUAAUACCCCGCUGUUCUGACGGUACCCAAAGAAUAAGCACCGGCUAACUUCGUG